rnacentral:rRNA from 1 species
GGCGGACGGGUGAGUAAUGUCUGGGAAACUGCCUGAUGGAGGGGGAUAACUACUGGAAACGGUAGCUAAUACCGCAUAACGUCGCAAGACCAAAGAGGGGGACCUUCGGGCCUCUUGCCAUCAGAUGUGCCCAGAUGGGAUUAGCUAGUAGGUGGGGUAACGGCUCACCUAGGCGACGAUCCCUAGCUGGUCUGAGAGGAUGACCAGCCACACUGGAACUGAGACACGGUCCAGACUCCUACGGGAGGCAGCAGUGGGGAAUAUUGCACAAUGGGCGCAAGCCUGAUGCAGCCAUGCCGCGUGUAUGAAGAAGGCCUUCGGGUUGUAAAGUACUUUCAGCGGGGAGGAAGGCGAUAAGGUUAAUAACCUUGUCGAUUGACGUUACCCGCAGAAGAAGCACCGGCUAACUCCGUGCCAGCAGCCGCGGUAAUACGGAGGGUGCAAGCGUUAAUCGGAAUUACUGGGCGUAAAGCGCACGCAGGCGGUCUGUCAAGUCGGAUGUGAAAUCCCCGGGCUCAACCUGGGAACUGCAUUCGAAACUGGCAGGCUAGAGUCUUGUAGAGGGGGGUAGAAUUCCAGGUGUAGCGGUGAAAUGCGUAGAGAUCUGGAGGAAUACCGGUGGCGAAGGCGGCCCCCU